UUUUGCACUAUCUUACUUUUAAGUUCUUAAACGGUAUUGAUAUUCUAAAAUUGGCAUGCUAUCAUGAUCUUGUCCCUUCUGGCAGAGGCGGAGGCAACGUAUGGCACGUAGGACAAAAAGGUGAGUGAAUUGAUCCCCAUUUUUUUUUUUGAAAAAAAAAUAUUAUUAUUUUUAAUAUAAUUUAUCAUAAAUAUAAUUUUAUCCCAUAAAAAAUUAGUAAUGUAUCAUAAAUUUUUUAAAUUUUAUAAUUUUAACCCCGCUUAACAUAAAUUCUGACUCCAACCCUGCCCUCUGAUAGUUUUUUAAAAAAUGACAAAAACACCUCCUAGAGAUGCUAAAUUCAAAUUCAAUAAAAAUUAAGGGUUAGAAGCAUUUUCGAUGAUUGAACAAGUAUAUGUUUAGUAUACAAAUCCAUAUAGUAUUAAGUUGCAGACUCGUAUAUUAACGGUCACACGAUACUCAUAUUCAUACUCUUGAAACUAGCUUCGAUUCCCCAACAGAUAUUUCAAACAUCAAAUCAUCUUUCAAUUUUUUUUUCUCUUCAUAAUUUUGUUUUGAAAAUUUUCCUCUUAAGAGUAUCAUUCAAAUAAUUAAGUACAAUAUAAAAAGAUUUAAAAUUCUACUAGAGGAUACUAAAAAAAUAGAAAAAGACAAAAAAAUAAUUAAAAAUAUUAAUUUGAACAGUGUGUUGAGUGAGUGCCAUAUAAAUUAGUAACAAAGUACAUUUGUAACGUUAAAUUAUAAAGUAUUCUUUGGAGAUGCUCUAAAGAGACAAAAAUAUGCGUGUUGUGUUGUAAUUAAUUUAUUUUAAUAAAAAAAAGGGUAAAUUACUCAUUACGUCACUACACUUACAAAAUUUCACUCCGUUAUGCCUUUCAUCUAAUUGUGCCAAUCAAGACAUGUACAUUCAUCAAGUGUUCGAAAAGAUAACUUUACAUUUUUGCAUCACCUAAACCUUUUGCUUCCAAUUAUGUUCAAUUAGUUCUUAUGCUUUUGUUCCCCCCAAGUUCAAUCCCUUAUGCCAUACGUCAUUUAAUCAGAGAGAAUUUGCACUGUCGAGGUCUUCGGACUUUUUAAAAUCUUAGUUUUUGAUUUUAAAAAGAAGUCAUGAUUUUAUGUUUUUUGCCUUUUACCUUUAUUUAAAGAAAAAAUUAAUUGACGAUGGAUACCUGACAGUGAUAACGUCGGUGUCGAUAAUAAUGAUGUUGCCGGUGCUACCGCCAUCGUCGGAGAAGAUGGUGUCAUCGACGAGGUCGACGACUGUAAAGACAACGUCAACAGCGAAAGACAAAAAAAAAAAUCAUGAAUGUUUUUUUUAAUUAUUCCAAUAGAAUCUCAAUAAAUUAUUGAAUGAAUUUUUUUUCUUCUAAAAAUUCUUAUAUUGUACGUUUUUGCACUAUAUGUGUAAUUCGUAGAAUGUUAAAUUUAUCAUUCUAUACCAAUAAAAAGUAUAAAUUAAAAUAUAUAGCAAUAGUGUGUGACAGCAAUAUGUUUAAUUGAAAAUUAUAGUGAACAUAAAAUAAUUUUAUUUAUAAUACAUUAAUUUUUUUGUUAAAAAACAGAAUGAGAAAUUUUUCAUUUAAAACAGCUCAACCCACAUAACCUAAAUAGGAUUUUUAAAAAGAUCAACACUUAUUUGAGUAAAAAUUCAGCCCACAAAACUCGGAUCCCAAAAUUCCUUCAAUAAAAGACUAUGUGACAUCAUUUUGUGAGUCCAUGUAAGUUUCUUUUAACAUUUAAUUGAACAAUUAGUAGACCGAAGACCAUAAACCCAAAGCGCGAGGGGAUAUUUAAGUGACAAUUUGAGGGAAAUGUUGCCCAAGUGUAAGUGAUCUUAAAAAAAAAAAAAAAAAAGGGCAGUUAGGACUACACUUGACCAAAGAGAGGUGAAUCCCAUAAGGGGUCAAAAUGCGCAAUAAACAUUCAAACAAGUUUUUGCCAAAAAAAGGGCAAAAUAUGAACCCUACCCUAUACUAGAUGAGAGACGAAUAGCCUCCACCACCCAACCCAAUCCCCAAUAUCAGUGAUCUCAAAGUUACUUCAAAAAUCACCGCCAUCACUAGAGAUUCAGAAUGGAGGUGCAAGGAGAGGAGGAGAGAGAUGAGCUCAACGGUGGGGUUUCUCAGGGUCAGGGAGGGCACUUAUGGCCGUCGAUCCCAAGGAGGAGGGCAGGUAAGGCAGCUAUGUGGUGGGUGUGGCCAAUUCUUUGGCGUCUUUCUUAUCAUCCAAAAUGAGUCUCUCAGUGAGCCACUGAUUCCAAUCUCUGCUUCUCAAAAUUUAGAGAGAGAGAGAGAGAGAUUUUUUUUUUUUUCUCUCUUUUUUUGUGAUAUAUCAGAUGUGUGGCCAUGUUGCACCAGAAUAGUUGUACGUGUAACAAUUGUAAGUUUCUAAUGUAUACAAGUUGAUUUGGUAAGUCUCUUUUGCAAUUGAUGUAGCUAUGGUUUAUGAUUUUAUGACUCUGUUUUUAAGUUACUCAUACAAAAGAAAAAACAGAGUGAAA
rnacentral:lncRNA from 1 species